rnacentral:lncRNA from 1 species
UUUUCUUAUUCUCUUACUGUAAUAUGUAGAAUAUUGGCGUACCCAACUAAAAAUAAAACUUUCCUUAUUACACACAAAAUAACUCUCACAUAUAAUUUUAUCACAUACACCCAAAAGAUUAAAAGACUCGCACAGUAAUUUCACUGCUCAACACACCUCUUAUACACCCUCUCUCUACACUAUACCUCACCAUACACACUACAACUUCACCACACACAUCACUUGGUGUGGGGACCUCACAGCUAUUAAUCGGCCCCCAACCAACCUUUAUUUGAGCACUCUAGAAUACUUUAGAGCACUUGUUUCUAGAGCACUCUAGAGUGCUCUAUUAGCAAGUAGAGAGAGCACUCAUUUUUAAAGCACUCUAGAGUAUUCUAUAUAAGAGAAAGAGAGAGAGAGAGAGAGAGAGAGAGAGAGAGAGAGAGAGAG